UACGAAGGGUGCAAGCGUUACUCGGAAUUACUGGGCGUAAAGCGUGCGUAGGUGGUUUGUUAAGUCUGUUGUGAAAGCCCCGGGCUCAACCUGGGAAUGGCAAUGGAUACUGGCAGGCUAGAGUGCGGUAGAGGGUAGUGGAAUUCCCGGUGUAGCGGUGAAAUGCGUAGAGAUCGGGAGGAACACCUGUGGCGAAAGCGGCUCACUGGACCGCAACUGACGCUGAGGCGCGAAAGCUAGGGGAGCAAACAGG
rnacentral:rRNA from 1 species